rnacentral:rRNA from 1 species
GCGGCGGACGGGUGAGUAACACGUGGGUAACCUGCCUGUAAGACUGGGAUAACUCCGGGAAACCGGGGCUAAUACCGGAUGCUUGAUUGAACCGCAUGGUUCAAUCAUAAAAGGUGGCUUUUAGCUACCACUUACAGAUGGACCCGCGGCGCAUUAGCUAGUUGGUGAGGUAACGGCUCACCAAGGCGACGAUGCGUAGCCGACCUGAGAGGGUGAUCGGCCACACUGGGACUGAGACACGGCCCAGACUCCUACGGGAGGCAGCAGUGGUCAUAGC